UCUCUGUGAUGUUGAAAACAGAUGACAAGUCCGAUGUAUCCAUUCUAUUAAACCAUGUGGACAAUCAGAACAUUUGUCUGAGAGAA
rfam:Hordeum vulgare subsp. vulgare, WGS project CAJW01000000 data, contig: morex_contig_139312